rnacentral:misc_RNA from 1 species
UUAACAAAUUUUGCUUUUCGCUCAGACUGCAAACUUCAGACAGCGUUCAAUGGUGUCUUCGGCGGGCGCGGGCCAGAGGGCAGAAGCCCCCCGGCGGCCGUGAGGCGGGCCCGCCGAAGCAACAAGGUACGAUAAACACGGGUGGGAGGUUGGACCCAGAGGGCCCUCACUCGGUAAUGAUCCUUCCGCAGGUUCACCUACGGAAA